rnacentral:misc_RNA from 1 species
CACAAAUUGACAUAAAACCAAGGUUUUUCAUUGCAUUGUUGACGUGGGCGAGUUGUAAAUAUAACUUUUAACAAUAAUCAGCAAAGAACACAUUCGAAAUUUGGUCCUUGAAAAUUUGACGAAGCCGGCUCUGUCCAGCUCUACAUUGUAAAUCCAUGCUUUCGACAAACCAAACUAUCUCAACCCUGUUUAAUUUUAGUCACAAUGUGUCAUAUUAGUGUCAAUGUCAUUGUCAAGAGAGAUAGACUAACAGUUGUA